rnacentral:rRNA from 1 species
AUAGCGUAUAUUAAAGUUGUUGCGGUUAAAAAGCUCGUAGUUGAACCUUGGGCCUAGCCGGCCGGUCCGCCUCACCGCGUGCACUGGCUCGGUUGGGCCUUUCCUUCUGGAGAACCCCAUGCCCUUCACUGGGUGUGGUGGGGAACCAGGACUUUUACUGUGGAAAAAUUAGAUCGCUUAAAGAAGGCCUAUGCUCGAAUAUAUUAGCAUGGAAUAAUAGAAUAGGACGUGUGGUUCUAUUUUGUUGGUUUCUAGGACCGCCGUAAUGAUUAAUAGGGACAGUCGGGGGCAUCAGUAUUCAAUUGUCAGAGGUGAAAUUCUUGGAUUUAUUGAAGACUAACUACUG